AUUGAACGCUGGCGGCAUGCCUUACACAUGCAAGUCGAACGGCAGCACGGGAGCUUGCUCCUGGUGGCGAGUGGCGAACGGGUGAGUAAUACAUCGGAACGUACCCUGAAGUGGGGGAUAACGUAGCGAAAGUUACGCUAAUACCGCAUAUUCUGUGAGCAGGGAAGAGGGGGAUCGCAAGACCUCUUGCUUUAGGAGCGGCCGAUGUCGGAUUAGCUAGUUGGUGAGGUAAAGGCUCACCAAGGCGACGAUCCGUAGCGGGUCUGAGAGGAUGAUCCGCCACACUGGGACUGAGACACGGCCCAGACUCCUACGGGAGGCAGCAGUGGGGAAUUUUGGACAAUGGGCGCAAGCCUGAUCCAGCCAUGCCGCGUGAGUGAAGAAGGCCUUCGGGUU
rnacentral:rRNA from 1 species